CCUGGCGGCCGUAGCGCGGUGGUCCCACCUGACCCCAUGCCGAACUCAGAAGUGAAACGCCGUAGCGCCGAUGGUAGUGUGGGGUCUCCC
rnacentral:rRNA from 5 species